AGUGAACGCUGGCGGUAGGCCUAACACAUGCAAGUCGAACGGCAGCACAGUAAUAGCUUGCUCUUACGGGUUGCGAGUGGCGUACGGGUGACGAAUACAUCGGAAUCUACUUUUUCGUGUUGGAUAACGUAGGGAAACUUACGCUAAUACCGCAUACCACCUACGGGUGAAAGCAUGGGAUCUUCUGACCUUGCGCGAUUGAAUGCGCCGAUGUCGGAUUAGAUAGUUGGCGGGGUAAAGGCCCACCAAGGCGACGAUCCGUAGCUGGUCUGAGAGGAUGAUAGGCGACACUGGAACUGAGACACGGUCCAGACGACUAAGGGAGGCAGCAGUGGGGAAUAUUAGACAAAGGGCGCAAGCAUGAUCCAGCCAGACCGCGUGGGUGAAGAAGGCCUUCGGGUUGUAAAGACCUUUUGUGGGGAAAGAAAAGCAGCAGGUUAAUACCCAGCUGUUCUGACGGUACCCAAAGAAUAAGCACCGGCUAACUUCGUG
rnacentral:rRNA from 1 species